rnacentral:misc_RNA from 1 species
GAUGAAGAACGUAGCGAAAUGCGAUAUGUAAUGCGAAUUGCAGAAUCCGUGAGUCAUCGAAUCUUUGAACGCACAUUGCGCCCUCUGGUAUUCCGGAGGGCAUGCCUGUUCGAGCGUCAUUAUCACCCCUCAAGCCCGGCUUGUUGUUGGAUGCAGCGCUUAUCCCGCUCCUCCCAAAGAUAAUGACGGCGUCUGCGACGACUCCUGUACACUGAGCUUUCGGGCACGUACACGGCUAGAAGUCCAGACCCGGUCGCCGUCCCCCCCGCGGGGACACCCAUUACCACAAGGUUGACCUCGGAUCAGGUAGGAAUACCCGCUGAACUUAAGCAUAUCAAUAAGCGGAGGA